rnacentral:rRNA from 1 species
GACGAACGCUGGCGGCGCGCCUAACACAUGCAAGUCGAACGGAGUCAAGAGGAGCUUGCUUUUCUUGACUUAGUGGCGGACGGGUGAGUAACGCGUGAGUAACCUGCCCUGGAGUGGGGGACAACAGUUGGAAACGACUGCUAAUACCGCAUAAGCCCACGGAUCUGCAUGGAUCUGCGGGAAAAGGAUUUAUUCGCUCUAGGAUGGACUCGCGUCCAAUUAGCUAGUUGGUGAGGUAACGGCCCACCAAGGCGACGAUUGGUAGCCGGACUGAGAGGUUGAACGGCCACAUUGGGACUGAGACACGGCCCAGACUCCUACGGGAGGCAGCAGUGGGGGAUAUUGCACAAUGGGGGAAACCCUGAUGCAGCGACGCCGCGUGGAGGAAGAAGGUUUUCGGAUUGUAAACUCCUGUCGUUAGGGACGAUAAUGACGGUACCUAACAAGAAAGCACCAGCUAACUACGUG